ACUUGUAACUUGAUCUAUAAAACAAUAACCACAAAGUGGUUUUUUUCCUCCCAGUGUUGGAAGGGGGAGAAAAUGCUGCUCAUCGACAUUCCUCUUGAGGUCAAAGCAGAGACCACUUUUUGGCCCGGGUGUGGGCAGCACUGGAAUAUGCAGGACAAGGGACAGAAUUUUUUGUUGAUUCCUAAAACAAGUUUGCAAAAGGUGAGCGCUUAAGGCCACCCUCGUCUGUGUGUGAAGAGCAUUCCACCCAGCACCUACUCUCUGAAGUAUGUGCCAUCCUCCUCCAAGCCAACUGAGACCUCAGGACUUUACUCAAGGAAGUCCCUUGUCAUCAGAAAUCUUCCCUGGCCAUACAAGCCCAGGUUUAAUUCUUUCUCCAAUCUGCUGAUGCCCCUUAAGUCACUUAAGGAUUAGAUACUAAAUUAUGUGUCAUUCCUGGGAUUUUUACAUGUGACUUGCUGACUAAAUUUCUUGUUCUCUGAAGAUGAGAACAAAGACUCACCUAUUUUUCCAUCAUCAUCUCAGGCAGGUGGUCCAUACCAACUCACUGCUUCUGUGACCUAAUAUUGAUAGCUUCCUUUGUUCUGGACUUUCAUGCAAUCACUGAUGCAAAUUGUCAUUUAUGAGAACCCCAUAAGGAAGAGAGUAUGUUUUUUAAAAAGGUAGGAGAAGAACUAGGAGACAACCCCCAAAUAACAAACAAAACCAACCCAGUACAAAUACUUUGUACUCACCACACUAUACUCAUCAUCAUCUCUACCAUCACUAACACUUAUUGAGCAUCAGUCAAGUGCCAGGUACAAGGAUUAUCUCACUUAAACCUCACAAUGACCUUGUAAGGUAGGUACUACCACUAUCUUCAUAUCACAGAUGAAGAGAUGAGACUUAAGGAGGUUAAGUAGCUUCCAUAUAUUAACAGCUAGUAAGCGGUGGAAGAUAGAAACUCUAACAUUAUCACCUUACUAGUUGGGUUAUGCCAGUAGCCAGAUUAAAGCAAUUGUUCUAAGCGAGGGAAGUAACAUAAAAUAGAGCAUAGGAUGGUAGGAGAGAACUGGGCUAGGUAUCAGAAGACUGGGGUUUUGGUCAUGAGAAAGUUGGGAUCUCAGUUUUCUUUUUUCCCUUUUUUUUUGGCCAAGGAUCGAACCCUCACCACAGUGGUGACCCAGCUCUCAGUAGGGGCAACACUAGAUUCUUAACCUACUGAACCAUCAGGGAAUUCCCUGCCUCGGUUUUCUUUAUCUGUAAAAUGAAGGGUUUAAGGUAGGUAACCUCCAAGAUGCAUUCCAGCCCCCAGAUUCUGUACUAGGAACAUCAAUGUCAUGAUGUGAUAAGAGACUUACUAGCAUCAUUUUUAAUAUAGGUGCAUAUAUUUUAGGGAGUUAUUGAAUGAUUAGGAGCAGAUUAAUCUGGGAAAUUGGAAGGUCACAUGUAGUUUUGAGAGUGUUUUGAAACAAGAAAUGAAAUGGCAUGAAGUAGAAACAUGAGGAAAAAAUUCAUGCUAAGAUAUGGUCAGGAAAAUGACUAAAAGGAGGGAGUGGAUGAGUCAUGUGCACAGGAUAACCAGCGCAUUUGCCGGGCUGCAGUGGGACGUACCAUCACAGCGGGAAAUGGGUACAGUUUGUCAAGAAAGGACUAAAAGGGGUGAAGGAUAUUGAAAGCAAUGCAUGGAGGUCCAAAAAUUAGUAACUGGGGCAAAAUCUUUCUCCAACAAAUUUUUUGAGAGUGUGCAUCAAAAAAUGAUGAAUUAAUUUUUUCAGACAUUAAUUUGUUAUCUGGGUAGAAUAAGAACAUAGCUAUCUAACAAAAGCUUCUUAAAAGCAUGGAAAAGGAAGUUGUUCUGGCAUGAAAUAUAAGAGUUAUAUUUCCUCAGAGAACAGCUUAUGAAUCUGUGUGUUUGUAUGUGUGUGUGAGAGAGAGAGAGAGAGAGAGAGAUGAAUGUGGUAUGUGCAUAAGUGUAAGAGGAAAUUGUUGAGGUCUGUGUGUUAGGGGGUUGGCUUUUUUUAAGUAAUUGCUGGUGUAUUUUCUUAAUUUAUUCCCAGAAUGCAAAAUAACCUAGCCUAACUUCCCAAAUAUACCACAAGUACCUUAAACUUUGUUUCACCUUUCUGAAAUCUUUUUAUUCAGGAAAAACAAUCUUUAUUACAGAAGAAUAAAAUCAGUUACGCUCUAUGAGUUUUUUGGUAAGUUAGCUCUACUUCUGAGUCAUUAGAAAAUAGCAGGACUUUUCAAUAUAAAGUCCUAAUAAAAGGAUUAGCUUUGAUAAGAAACUAGGUAGGAAGUUCUCAGAUUCAAGUGUUUUUCCUAGAAAAGUUUAUCAUGAAACUUUUUUUUUUUUUUUGGCCAUGCCCAGAGCAUGUGGAAGUUCCCAGGAUUGGAAUCAAAUCUGCGUCACAGCAAUGACCCAAGCCAUUGCAGUGAUACUGCCAGAUCCUUAACCCUCUGUACCACAGAACUCUGAAAAUACUUGUUUUAUAUUCUCCUGUUUCUGAAAUGCAUUUUCUUUACUUAUAUAGUGACAUAAUUUGCAUCUAUAUGGAGUGAAUAAGCAAUGAGAUCCUGCUGUAUAGUACAGGGAACUAUGUCUAGUCAUUUAUGAUGGAACACAAUGGAGGAUAAUGUGAGAAAAAGAAGUAUAUAUAUGUGUGACUGGGUCAUUUGCUAUACAGUAGAAAUUGAUAGAACACUGUAAACCAACUAUAAUGGAAAAAAUAAAAAUAAUUAAAAAAGAAAAAAAUAAAAUGACAUAAGGCAUAUUUAAGAUUUGGAUUUUACAUUGUGUUUACGGGAAAGAUUGCUGAGCAGAGCCAGAGAACUAUGUAGGAAAGGGAGAAGGUACUAAUUUGAAUGUGUAUUUAGUAGGUGGCAGGAGCUAUGCCUUACAUUUUAUACACAGUAUUUCAUUUAAUUGCCCUAAUGCUCCUACACAUGAGAACAAAGAACCUCUGAGUUACCUGGCUGAGUCACACAACUCAUAAAUGAAAGCAUAAGGACUCAAACUAGCCCAGAUCAGCUUAACAAAAAACAUUUUGAGCAAGGACAAUAUACAAAGAACUAGGCCUGGCCUGAUAGAAGUAGGGUAAGAUUUUUUAAAAUGAAGGCACAAUGCCUGUCUUCAAAAUACUUACUUCUAAAG
ensembl:lncRNA